rnacentral:lncRNA from 1 species
UGGAGAUUAGCACAAAAAUUUGAUUUUACCAAACAGUUCGUCUGCUUGAGAAAAGAGUAAUCUGCUUUAGGAGUCGCGUUGACGUCAUGCCUUUAUUGUCUAAUGUUUCAAAAUGUUGGUAGUGAAAAAAAACUUUGUUGUGGGUUUAUGAGAAACCAAGAUCCUUUUCUCAAAUGGAAAAAGACUUUUCUGGUCAGAUUGCACAAAAAUUUUUCGAACUUUUUCCUUGCAAAAACUCUUCAUUAGGAUCUUGCAGUUAUAUCAUAGUUGUCUUGUGGCUACAAUGGUGUCCCUGCCAUGUUUGACUGCAUCUAGUUCUAUUUGUAGUCUGUACAAAAAAAAUUAAUACAAGUAUCAUGAAACAACCAA